GAUGAACGCUGGCGGCGUGCCUAACACAUGCAAGUCGAACGGAGUUUAGCGCUGAUGAAGCUUCGGCAGAUUCUUGUUAAACUUAGUGGCGGACGGGUGAGUAACGCGUGGGUAACCUGCCUCAUACAGGGGGAUAGCAGUUGGAAACGACUGAUAACACCGCAUAAGCGCACAGGAUCGCAUGAUMYAGUGUGAAAAUAUUUAUAGGUAUGAGAUGGACCCGCGUCUGAUUAGCUAGUUGGUGAGGUAACGGCCCACCAAGGCGACGAUCAGUAGCCGGCCUGAGAGGGCGGACGGCCACAUUGGGACUGAGACACGGCCCAAACUCCUACGGGAGGCAGCAGUGGGGGAUAUUGCACAAUGGGCGAAAGCCUGAUGCAGCGACGCCGCGUGAGUGAAGAAGUAUUUCGGUAUGUAAAGCUCUAUCAGCAGGGAAGAAAGAUCUCGUAAGAGG
rnacentral:rRNA from 1 species